UGGCUAAUGAUAAAAAAAUAAUACUAGCAAUAAAAAAAAUGUUGCUGGAAACUUUAGCUAAUGGCCUUUUUUGUUCCCAAGAUACAAAUUUUUAUUAGAUGUUGAUAUGGCGAAUGAGGACCAAUAUGCAACGCACCUAAAUUACUAAAAAUAGAGCACACAACAUUUCUAGUAAUUUACUAGAUCGCUUGCGAUUGCUGAAACGAGCUGCAUAGUCUGAUGCAGACUUUACUCGCUUGUACGGUGUUUAAUGCAUUGUAGCCCAUAUAACCUUAAAUUUGUAGGAAAGAAACACAUGCGCCCGCGGUACUUACAAAAAUGGAUAUUAUCAAGUCAAUUUUAGAAAACAAACAGGUAAAAGAGGAUCCAAGUAAAUCUACAACAGUGCACAAAGAUGUGGAGCUCGAUAUUGAUCUGGCAACUCUAUUUGCGUCCGAUUAUAAUACUUUGGAUAUGAAAAUUCUCAAAUCGAAACCAGAUUCAUACCUGAAAAAUUUGACCAGAGAAAAUGUGCAAUUAUUAAUUAUUAAUAUAUAUGAAGAUUAUCAGUGGAAUGGGUAGAUGAAGCUAUAGUGAUUAUAUUGCCAGAGCUUAAAUACAUAUUACCAUGCUCAUGUGUUAUUCCAAAACCGAAAUCUUUAACAAAGUGGCAACAGUUCUAUUUAUGGUUAGACAAUGCUCCAUCGAGUUCAGAGAUUUUUUAGAGUAUUAUUCCAUCUGUCCUAAAAACGUCUUAAAUAAGGCAUCUUUAGGACGUCCUAAAAAAGACGUUUUUUAAAUUUCUUUAACAAUUGGCAUUUUAAUUUUGCAACAAAUUUUUUAAAAAUUUUAAAAGACGUUUUAAUUAUUUAAGUGUUUUACAUCCUAACACUGUCAAAAGCUCAGAAGUGAAAAUAAGCAUGUAGAAAGGUUACGAUUAUCCGUUGGAACAGCCAGAAACACUCCAUUUUAGCCGGGAUUUUCUGAAAUUGUUAUUAGGAGCACAUGAUGAUGUAGGAGCUCACUUAGAGCAGUGUCAUCUAUUGUUAGCUAAAGCAACAUUACGAAUGGAUUGAUAGUAAGUGUACCGACUAAUCAAUGCUUCGAGUGAACUCCUACAUCAUCAUGUGCUCCUGUUAACAAUUUCAGAAAAUCCUGGCUAAAAUGGAGCGUAGGGCCGCAUCCCUCCGUUUUGGCAUCAUGACCAGACGGUUCUGUGAUCAGUUGGGAUAUUUGUUUCCGACUGAGACACGCGCCACUUACAGUUCCUUGUUGCAAAAGUUACUGGGAAAAAAAUUAGACGUUAUGUGAAUAUAUAUUUUAUUGUAUAUUUCUUAAUAAUUGUGCAGUUAUGAAUAAAGCCAUUUUGCUUGAUAUUGAUGAUUCUAUUAGGACAAACACUCAUUGUUAUCUGUAAUUACGUGAAGAGUAUAAAGCGAAUUUAUGUAUAAACAGUAACUGCGAUAUAUAUAUUCUAUUUUUUUUAUAUAGAACAGAGAUGUUUUGAAUCAGCAGAUGGACGAGUUGACGAAACAAUUUAAAGAUAUAGUAAUAUUGUUUAUGAAACGAAAGUAUAUUUAUAUCUGAUAAAAAUAAAACAAUGUUUUAAACAAUAAAAACAAGGCAAUAAUACAAUAAAUCAAAUUUCAUUUAUUUGAGUUUAUCGUUCAUUCUUAAUAGAAUGCUGCAUACGAUUAAUAAUAUAAUUUGUAAAAACAGAAUUCAUCUUUCAACAUAAUUUAUUUUCUUGAUAGAAAGAUUCUUCAAUGUUUUUCAUGACUGCUAAGCUACUUGGAAACACGAAUAAAAAAAGGAUGGAUCCUAAAUAAGUGCUAAAUGUACGUUGCGAUCAUUUUAAUUUACAAGUAUUCAUUGUAUGGCUCAUAAUAAUAGUAGUAAUAUUAUUUUACAACUUUUCGCUCAUCAGAUAAAAACACGCACCUUCACCUACACAUCUUCAAAGCCUGCUGCGACGAUACUAUUUUAUGCAGUGUUAUUCACAAAAUAUUUAAAUCCAAAAGCUUAUUGUGUUUCCAUCGCAUUAAGUAUAAUAUAGUAUUACACUUCGAAGCUCUACAGAUUUUUAACAUACAUAUAACAAUUAUACGAUUCAUUGCAAUAAGAAUUAUACUCUUACACCGAUCAAACCCAAUUGUGUCUUACACACCUUAUUUCACACAUUACACCAGAUUUUCUAUCCAUUCAUGCCCAAUAAAGUACACUAAUUCAUCAAGUAUUCACUGAAAUCUUAUCAUAUAAUGAUCAAAUAAAUGCAUAAGUCAUUCUAACAAUAGGUCGCUGUUAUAUAUGUAUAUAUAUAUAAUAUAUAUAUAUAUUUUUUACAUAACUUUAAAUUAAUCAGAUUGUUAGAUAUACUAAGUAUUUGCAUUUUCGGUAGAUAUAAAUUUUAUUAUGCACGCACAUAUCUCUCUUAUCUCACUUGAAACAUCCCAUCAGAAAAAUUAUUUAUUAUCUUUAGAAAUAAAAAAUAAUUUUAUUAGCAUCGUGAUUAAUCAAUGAUAUACUUUUUUCAAUUACACGAAUAAAAAAUAUAUCACUGUUGAAUAGAAAAUAUAAGAACAGGAAGAAAUUUUCUUUGUAUUAUUUAUAUUAUAACAAAUUCUGUAUCAAUACAUUAGUAUAAGCUAUCACAAGUAAGCUUACAUACAUACAUACAUAUCCAUAUUCAUGGUAAAUUUAAAUGGCCGAAAAUGUGCACAAAUCAAUUCCGUGGAUUACGUUUUCCCUAACUCGCAUAGAAAUGCUAAAACGGAACUUAAUAUAGUUGCUAUCAUAAGUCUCAUGGAAAUCGCUUAUACAGAAAUUCAUCGUACAAUAUAUAUCGAGUCAUUUGACAAUAAUUCUGAAGAAUGGUAACAUUACUUUUGCCAUUUCUAUCGUUUUUUUUUAUUUUUUUAUUUUAUAAUUCUGAUCAGUGGGAAUUAUUAAUCUGUAAAAGUUUUAUCCUAGAUAUCCUUUCUUAGACAAUCGACUUUCUUUGUAAAGUGAUUCUUUUAUUUCGUUACAUGAAAUAGCAUCGCUAGCAGGCAAUUGUCCAUUAUCCACAACGAAAUUCGAAUUUCUAUAAAAUCCUAUAACAGACAAACAAACAGUCACCACGUUUCGGGCUUACCUCCUUUAACAAGGGUGUAAUUUUGCAGACUCGGUUUUACAAGUAAUUAAUAUUUAUCUGUUUUUUUUUCUUUUUUUUUUCUUUUUAAUGGUGAUGAGAUGGUGAUGUCGCAGGGAUAA